AUGAACGCUGGCGGCGUGCCUAAUACAUGCAAGUCGAGCGAACGGACGAGAAGCUUGCUUCUCUGAUGUUAGCGGCGGACGGGUGAGUAACACGUGGAUAACCUACCUAUAAGACUGGGAUAACUUCGGGAAACCGGAGCUAAUACCGGAUAAUAUUUUGAACCGCAUGGUUCAAAAGUGAAAGACGGUCUUGCUGUCACUUAUAGAUGGAUCCGCGCUGCAUUAGCUAGUUGGUAAGGUAACGGCUUACCAAGGCAACGAUGCAUAGCCGACCUGAGAGGGUGAUCGGCCACACUGGAACUGAGACACGGUCCAGACUCCUACGGGAGGCAGCAGUAGGGAAUCUUCCGCAAUGGGCGAAAGCCUGACGGAGCAACGCCGCGUGAGUGAUGAAGGUCUUCGGAUCGUAAAACUCUGUUAUUAGGGAAGAACAUAUGUGUAAGUAACUGUGCACAUCUUGACGGUACCUAAUCAGAAGGCCACGGCUAACUACGUG
rnacentral:rRNA from 1 species